rnacentral:RNase_P_RNA from 1 species
AUAGAUGGUGCGAUGAUCGCUUGAGUAAUCAAGAGGAAAGUCCGGGCUCCACUGGAAAAAAAACCAGGUAACACCUGGCAAGUGAAAGCUUAGGGAAAGUGCAACAGAAAAUAUACCGCCUGAAAAGGUAAGGGUGAAAAGGUAAGGUAAGAGCUUACCGCUUUUUUGGUAACAAAAAAGGCUUUGCAAACCCUUUUUGGAGCAAGGUCAAAUAGGAAUAGCAAUCAGUUCCAGCUGAGCUAUUUGGGUAGACUGCUUGAAACAAAUGGUGACAUUUGUUCUAGAUUAAUGAUCAUCAAUUUUUAUUAAAUUACAGAACCCGGCUUAUGCACCAUCUUUAUAU